rnacentral:lncRNA from 10 species
UUUGCAGAUGACAUGAUUGUAUAUCUAGAAAACCCCAUUGUCUCAGCCCAAAAUCUCCUUAAGCUGAUAAGUAACCUCAGCAAAGUCUCAGGAUACAAAAUCAAUGUACAAAAAUCACAAGCAUUCUUAUACACCAAUAACAGACAAACAGAGAGCCAAAUCAUGAGUGAACUCCCAUUUGCAAUUGCUACAAAGAGACUAAAAUACUUAGGAAUCCAAUUUACAAGGGACAUGAAGGACCUCUUCAAGGAGAACUACAAACCACUGCUCAAUGAAAUAAAAGAGGAUACAAACAAAUGGAAG